rnacentral:rRNA from 1 species
AGUGAACGCUGGCGGUAGGCCUAACACAUGCAAGUCGAACGGCAGCACAGUAAGAGCUUGCCCUUACGGGUGGCGAGUGGCGGACGGGUGAGGAAUACAUAAGAAUCUACUUUUUCGUGGGGGAUAACGUGGGGAAACUUACGCUAAUACCGAAUACGACCUACGGGUGAAAGCAGGAGAGAUUGGGACCUUGCGCGAUUGAAUGAGCCGAUGUCGCAUUAGCUAGUUGGCGGGGUAAAGGCACACCAAGGCAACGAUACGUAGCAGGUCUGAGAGGAUGAUCAGCCACACUGGAACUGAGACACGGUCCAGACUCCUACGGGAGGCAGCAGUGGGGAAUAUUGGACAAUGGGCGCAAGCCUGAUCCAGCCAUACCGCGUGGGUGAAGAAGGUCUUCGGGUUGUAAAGCCCUUUUGUUGGGAAAGAAAAGCAGCAGGUUAAUCCCCCGCUGUUCUGACGGUACCCAAAGAAUAAGCACCGGCUAACUUCGUG